rnacentral:lncRNA from 1 species
CGGGGGAAAGGCCUUUUCCUUCCUUUUUCAGGACAGACAGGAAAGCGGGGGCUCCUCACUCCCCCCUCCCCUCUGUGCCCGGGACGGGAUGCACGGCCCAAGGGUCCCACACAGCUGGCUAGAUGGUUCUCAGACACAAGCCACCGCAGCCUUCCUUUUCCCCUGCCAGGGGGUUAAACUUUAUCAGAAAGUAAUUAAGCUUUAACCCUGCUGUUGAAAUCACUUGCAGACGAAUAAGAAGUUCUUCCCCAGGCAUUUUUAAACCUUUUUUCACUCCCCUUUUCCACCUCCUCAACAAGUAAACCCUUAAAGUUUUUUUUUUGUUUGUUUGCUUGUUUUUUUAAGAAGACACUUUACUAGGCCACUCCCUCUGCUCCCCAGCUAUCACUGUAUGCUCUGCAAAGUUUUGCUUGUGAAAUAAAUCCUCUAUUUUGUUUUACAUCCUGAGGCCAUGGCUUAUAACUCUGGCGGCAAGGAUUUGUUUAGCAAUCCUGCCUUAGGGGAUGAGCCCUCUCUAAUUCAAUAUCUGCAUGUCCCCUGUCUCUUAAAGGGCCUCACUCACGGCAUAUGGAACUAACCACGCCCCUAACUAAGAAGGCACACCUUAGUUGCAGUUAGCACACAAUUAAAGCAACUCUCCAAGUUUUACCUUAAAGUUCAAAAUUGCUAGGAGUUGAAACUACUAGAAAUAUAUUUACAUGCAAGAGUCAAAGAAACUUUGAACUAUUUAUGGCCUUUAAUAAUUAAGUAAGGUAUACUCCUGUGAUCAAGACUUGGAGCAUAUUUGUUUCUCUCUGCCUGGUUCCUCUAGAAAUUGGAAACGAUCAGAACACAGACCAACUCCGUUUCCCGAUCCCUUUGCAAUCUGCAUUGAACCAUGAGUCAAGUUCUUGAUAAAGGAGUGAAAAUGUGUGUGACACAUGUGCUCAUGGAUUAUUGUCCGAAGCAAGUCAUGUGACCAAGCUUAACAUCAACUGGGUGAAGAGCUAUAUGUUCCUUUCUCAAGAGGCACUACAAGUGACAUGCCAACGG